rnacentral:rRNA from 1 species
AACGAACGCUGGCGGCAUGCCUAACACAUGCAAGUCGAACGAGAUCUUCGGGUCUAGUGGCGCACGGGUGCGUAACGCGUGGGAAUCUGCCCUUUGGUUCGGAAUAACAGUUGGAAACGACUGCUAAUACCGGAUGAUGACGAAAGUCCAAAGAUUUAUCGCCAGAGGAUGAGCCCGCGUAGGAUUAGCUAGUUGGUGUGGUAAAGGCGCACCAAGGCGACGAUCCUUAGCUGGUCUGAGAGGAUGAUCAGCCACACUGGGACUGAGACACGGCCCAGACUCCUACGGGAGGCAGCAGUGGGGAAUAUUGGACAAUGGGGGAAACCCUGAUCUAGCCAUGCCGCGUGAUCGAUGAAGGCCUUAGGGUUGUAAGGAUCUUUCAGUGGGGAAGAUAAUGACUGUACCCACAGAAGAAGCCCCGGCUAACUCCGUGCCAGCCGCCGCAGUAA